rnacentral:rRNA from 1 species
GAUGAACGCUGGCGGCGUGCCUAAUACAUGCAAGUCGAGCGAACAGACGAGGAGCUUGCUCCUCUGAUGUUAGCGGCGGACGGGUGAGUAACACGUGGAUAACCUACCUAUAAGACUGGGAUAACUUCGGGAAACCGGAGCUAAUACCGGAUAACAUGUUGAACCGCAUGGUUCAACAGUGAAAGUCGGUCUUGCUGUCACUUAUAGAUGGAUCCGCGCCGCAUUAGCUAGUUGGUAAGGUAACGGCUUACCAAGGCAACGAUGCGUAGCCGACCUGAGAGGGUGAUCGGCCACACUGGAACUGAGACACGGUCCAGACUCCUACGGGAGGCAGCAGUAGGGAAUCUUCCGCAAUGGGCGAAAGCCUGAUGGAGCAACGCCGCGUGAGUGAAGAAGGUCUUCGGAUCGUAAAACUCUGUUAUUAGGGAAGAACAAAUGUGUAAGUAACUAUGCACGUCUUGACGGUACCUAAUCAGAAAGCCACGGCUAACUACGUG